rnacentral:rRNA from 1 species
CCAGACUCCUACGGGAGGCAGCAGUGGGGGAUAUUGCACAAUGGGGGAAACCCUGAUGCAGCGACGCCGCGUGGGUGAAGGAGCACUUCGGUGCGUAAAGCCCUAUCGGCAGGGAAGAAAAGGGGGAAACCCCAGACGGUACCUGACUAAGAAGCCCCGGCUAACUACGUGCCAGCAGCCGCGGUAAUACGUAGGGGGCAAGCGUUAUCCGGAUUUACUGGGUGUAAAGGGAGCGCAGACGGCAGUGCAAGUCUGGAGUGAAAGCCCGGGGCCCAACCCCGGGACUGCUCUGGAAACUGUGCAGCUAGAGUGCAGGAGAGGCAGGCGGAAUUCCUAGUGUAGCGGUGAAAUGCGUAGAUAUUAGGAGGAACACCAGUGGCGAAGGCGGCUUACUGGACUGUAAAUGACGCUGAGGCUCGAAAGCGUGGGGAGCAAACGGGAUUAGAUACCCCAGUAUG